rnacentral:rRNA from 1 species
GACGAACGCUGGCGGCGUGCUUAACACAUGCAAGUCGAACGAUGAAGCCUAGCUUGCUAGGUGGAUUAGUGUCGAACGGGUGAGUAAUACGUGAGUAACCUCCCUUUAACUCUUUGAUAAGCCCUGAAAACUGUGUCUAUUACCCGAUACAACCAAUCUCCCCAUGUGGUGUUGGUGGAAAGCGUUCUGUGGUGGUUAUAGAUGGACUCACGGCCUAUCAGCUUGUUGGUGUGGUAGCGGCUCACCAAGGCGACGACGGGUAGCCGGCCUGAGAGGGUGACCGGCCACACUGGGACUGAGACACGGCCCAGACUCCUACGGGAGGCAGCAGUGGGGAAUAUUGCACAAUGGGCGGAAGCCUGAUGCAGCGACGCCGCGUGAGGGAUGACGGCCUUCGGGUUGUAAACCGCUGUUAGCAGGGAAGAAGAGAGAUUGACGGUACCUGGAGAGAAAGCGCCGGCUAACUACGUG